GACGAACGCUGGCGGCGUGCUUAACACAUGCAAGUCGAACGGAGUGGCGAACGGGUGAGUAACACGUGGGUGAGCUGCCCUGCACUUCGGGGUAAGCCUGGGUACUGGGUCUAAUACCGGAUGGUGUGGGAUGGGCCCGCGGCCUAUUAGCUUGUGGGGGGGGUAAUGGCCUACCAAGGCGGCGACGGGUAGCCGGCCUGAGAGGGUGGACGGCCAAAUUGGGAAUGAGGCACGGCCCAGAUUCCUACGGGGCGCAGCAGUGGGGAAUAUUGCACAAUGGGCGGAAGCCUGAUGCAGCGACGCCGCGUGGGGGAUGACGGCCUUCGGGUUGUAAACUCCUUUCACCAUCGACGCGGUAGAUGGAGAAGAAGCACCGGCUAACUACGUGCCAGCAGCCGCGGUAAUUC
rnacentral:rRNA from 1 species